rnacentral:rRNA from 1 species
AGGAUUAACGCUGGCGGCGUGCAUGAAACAUGCAAGUCGAGCGCGGCGCGUGGCUUCGGUCACGCGUCUAGCGGCGCACGGGUGAGUAACACGUGAGCAACCUACCUUCGAGUUCGGGAUAGCCCUGGGAAACCAGGAUUAAUACCGGAUGUGGUCACAACGGGACAUCCCGAUGUGAAAAAAGGCGUAAGCCGCUCGAUGACGGGCUCGCGGCCUAUUAGCUUGUUGGUGGGGUAACGGCCUACCAAGGCGACGAUGGGUAGCUGGUCUGAGAGGACGAUCAGCCACACUGGGACUGAGACACGGCCCAGACUCCUACGGGAGGCAGCAGUUAGGAAUUUUCCGCAAUGGGCGAAAGCCUGACGGAGCAACGCCGCGUGUGUGAUGAAGGCCUUCGGGUUGUAAAGCACUGUCGGAGGGAAGAAUGAAUGACGGUACCCUCCAAGAAAGCCCGGCUAACUACGCGCCAGCAGCCGC